rnacentral:rRNA from 1 species
AUUGAACGCUCGCGGGAUGCCUUACACAUGCAAGUCGAACGGCAGCACGGACUUCGGUCUGGUGGCGAGUGGCGAACGGGUGAGUAAUGUAUCGGAACGUGCCCAGUAGCGGGGGAUAACUACGCGAAAGCGUAGCUAAUACCGCAUACGCCCUACGGGGGAAAGCAGGGGAUCGCAAGACCUUGCACUAUUGGAGCGGCCGAUAUCGGAUUAGCUAGUUGGUGGGGUAACGGCUCACCAAGGCGACGAUCCGUAGCUGGUUUGAGAGGACGACCAGCCACACUGGGACUGAGACACGGCCCAGACUCCUACGGGAGGCAGCAGUGGGGAAUUUUGGACAAUGGGGGAAACCCUGAUCCAGCCAUCCCGCGUGUGCGAUGAAGGCCUUCGGGUUGUAAAGCACUUUUGGCAGGAAAGAAACGUCGCGGGUUAAUACCUCGCGAAACUGACGGUACCUGCAGAAUAAGCACCGGCUAACUACGUG